rnacentral:misc_RNA from 1 species
GAUGAGAACGUAGCGAAAUGCGAUACGUAAUGUGAAUUGCAGAAUUCAGUGAAUCAUCGAAUCUUUGAACGCAUAUUGCGCUCUCUGGUAUUCCGGAGAGCAUGCUUGUUUGAGUAUCAGUAAACACCUCAACUCCCUUUUCUUUUUUUGAAAUGGGAGCUGGACUUGAGUGAUCCCAACGCUUUUCUCACCGAAAAGUGGCGGGUUACUUGAAAUGCAGGUGCAGCUGGACUUUUCUCUGAGCUAAAAGCAUAUCUAUUUAGUCUGCCUAAAAAACAGAUUAUUACCUUUGCUGCAGCUAACAUAAAGGAGAUUAGUUCUUGUGCUGACUGAUGCAGGAUUCACAGAGACAGCUUCGGCUGGCCUUUGUAAACUCGAUCUCAAAUCAAGUAAGACUACCCGCUGAACUUAAGCAUAUCAAUAAGCGGAGGA